rnacentral:lncRNA from 1 species
GCUGAGCACAGUUCUGACAGAGGGGAGCUGAUAUGGCCCUUUCUUGGGGAGAAGAGUCUGGGGCACCCUCUGAGAUUCUGUAUGUAUCUCCCUGAGACUUUAUCACUGUUCAGGCGGAGCCAGUGAUGAGUCCCUUUGUGGGUAUAUGCAUAAUUCUUCUCUGAGGGAACAAGAGCAAAAGGCAAAAGGACUGCAGCUCCUGUCACACAGGGCUUUUUCCACAACCAUCGAAGGCUACUCUGAUUUGCAAUUAGCAGGAUAAACUGAAGAUAACACCUUGCAGAAGCAGAUCUCAAUUAACAACUGAUGGAAAAAAGAGGAAACUGAAGAGGCCAAAAGAAAGGGAACACACAAUGAGGAAGAAGGAGAAAGUUGGACCCAUUCCAAGAAUCAUGCAAGCCAUUCUGCUGGAUGUGAAGUGGUAUCUGAUUGUUACUAGAAGGCUAUCCUUACAAGAAAUGCUAAAGGAAAUUGUUCAGACUGAAAGCAAUUGACACCAGACGGUAAUUUGAAUCCACACAGUAAAACAAUGAGCAUCAGCAGAGGUCAUUAUGUCAGUAAUUUGAACCACAGUAUAAUAUAUAUUACUACUCCUUCCUUCUCUUAGCUGAUUUAAACAGCAAUUGCAUAAAACAAUAUGUAUAUAAUUGCAUUAUUAAGCCUAUAACAUACAGAAAUGCAAUAUAUUUGACAAUAACAUCACAAGAAAGGUAGGAGGGAACAAAGCUGUAUUAUAGUACAGAAAUGACACCAGAUGGUAACUUGAAUCUACAGGAAGAAAUAAAGAGCGCCAGAAAUGAAGAAUAAGAAGAUUAACAUAAUAAACUCUCUAAAUAUAUACUUGCCCUCCUUUCUUCUCUCAGCUACUAUAAAAGACAUGAAACAUGAAAUUAUAUAAAACAAUAAUUAUAAAAAUUUAUUGUGCAGUUUGUAAUAUAUGUAAGUGCAAAAUAUGUUGUUGGAUUCUUGGUUGAGGUUUUUAUCUUUCUGCACUUUGAAUGUGUCAUCUAGCUGCUUUCUAGCCUCCAUUCUUUCUGAUAAGGAAUCAGAUGUUAAUCUUACUGGGGUUACAUUGUACAUGAUGCGUUGCUCUUCUCUUGCUGCUUUCAAGAUUUUCUCUUCAUUCUUGGUUUUCAACAUUUUGAUUAUAAUGUCUCAAGGUCUAGACCUUUUUGCAAUAUCCUACUUGAGUUCAACAAGCUUCUUGGAUAUGUAGAUUAAUGUGUUGUUUUGUUCUUUUGUUUGGGUUUUUUUUUUUUUUGGUCAAAUUUGUGAUAUUUUCAGCCAUUUUUCCUUUGUAUAGGUUUUUAUCUCCUUUCUCUUUCUCUCAUCUUUCUGGGACUCUCAUUAUACAUAUGUUGGUACACUUAAUGGUGUCCCACAUUUCUCUGAUGCCAUUUAUUUUUCCUCAUUCUUUUCAUCUCUGUGCUUCAAAUUGCAUAAUCUCAAUUUAUCUUCAAAUUCACUGAUUCUUUUUCCAACUCAAAUCUACUGUUGAGUUCCUCUUUUGAAUUUUUCAUUUUACUUACUGUGUUUUUCAACUCUAGAAUUUCCAUUUCUUUUUAAAAUAAUUUCUAUCUUUAUCAAUAUUUUCUAUUUGAUAAAACUGUCAUAAUACAUUUACUUAAUUCUUUAAAUAUUGUUUCCUUUAGUUCUUGGGACAUAUUUAUAAUAGCUGCUUUGUGAUUCUUUGAACUUUCCUGCUAAGUCCAUUCUCUGGGCUCCCUCAAAAACAGUUUCUAUUGUUGGCUUUUUCCCUUUACAUGGGUCACUCUUUCCUGUUUCUUUGCACAUCUGACAAUUUUUUUUUUGAAAACAGAACAUGUUAGAUAAUACAUUGCAGCAACUUUGGAUAUUGAUUCUCCCUUACCACCUUUGGGAUCUGUUGUUGUUUCCUCAUUUUCUUGUUUGUUUAGUGACAUAAUUGGACUAGUUCAGUUAAGUCUGUUUCCUUCAAAGUGUGCAACAUCUAACAGCAUGCCUCAGACAGCACAGACUUGGGCAUGUACACAGUCUUUUUAACUGCCAGAGAUAACUGUGGUUUUCUCUUUGACUGUCUCUUUCUCAUUGAGACUUUGGGUGGUCUACCUCUGUUGGUAUUACAUACAACCAUUGGCCUCCAGCAAUCUUUAUCUGAUUGUUCUACUUUUUUCAGCAACUCCCUGGGGCAUAAUAUGCUUCACAGUCUAAUCCAAUUAAAGUUCCUUGAAAGGGGCAGAGUGUUUACAGUCUUUGAAGCUUGCUCCAAAUCUGCCCUGGAAGAAUGUCUGUCCUAUAGAUCAGGAGCUGGGGGAAAUUAGAAAACUCAUUCUUUCCCAGGCACUGCACUAGAGUUCUUCUUAUGGUGUAGGAGCUGUGAGAAGAGAAAAGGGGGAAGUAGGAACUGGCACUGCCACCCAGCUGCGCCCACCACCAAGUACACAUAUUCCACAGCGCAGAGCUGGGGAGAAUAAUAACUGCCAAUAUUCAUAGCUGUCAACCUACCCAUAAUAGUUCUUCCAUUCUAGGAAGCUGGGGAAGAUGGGAGAUGCCACUUGGCUGCUGAGCCAACUGGAAUAGUUCUCGUGCAACAUAGAGCCAUGAAAAAGGGGGGACUGACUUCUUACCAGCUGCCCCACUUAGAUCCUCCCCAUAUAAUCGGAGUUGGGGGUGAAGGAACAGACACUGAUGCAUGUUUGCUGGCACCGAUUCAAUAUUCGACUUCCACAGCAUGGAUCUUUGAAAAAUACUGUCAUGUAAUUUUCACUGGCUGCCAAAUCCACCCCAAAUAACUUUUUUACCCCAGGGAGCUGGAGAAGAUGGGAAUUGCCACUUGUGGGAUGAGCCCACAGAAAACAUCCUCCCGCAAGGUAGAGCUGUUGCAGCCCCUAGUUCUAAUGCAAUGUCCUCCCACUGUUCCUAUCAAGUCUCCAUAUUUUUGCUGAAUAAAUGCUUCUCGGUUUGUUGUAAUCCCUUUGAUCACUCUCCAGAGACUUUGAAUGGUUUUCUUUGCUAAUUUUGACCAGCUUGGUGGAUACCUCUUCAGGAGAGAGGUUUCCCCAAACUCCUCCACCACUGCUCCAGAAAUCCCCAGAAGUUCUUGACAUUUCGUGAGGGCAAAACUUAGAGCACAAGGCAUCAGUGGCUUCCUUCUCUUACCAGUUGUAUAACCUUGAGCAAGUCUUUUAACCUCUGUGAACAGUUUCUCAUCUGUAACAUAAGGAUAAUCAUAGUGCCCACAAUUGUUGGGAGGAUUUGUUGAGUUAAUCCUUGUUAUGCACCUAGUCUAGUGCCAAGUUAUCAUUAUUACUAUUGUCAUUAUUUUUAAUAAUCCACGAGUUUAUAACUUCAGAGUGUUGGAAUCAUAACCAGUUCACACAAUACUUUUGUACAAGUUAUAAAAGGCAUUUUUCCUCAGGACAAUUUAUUAUUUGUCUUUCAAAGUAAUUAUAAUAAUAUAAUGAUUUUGUUAGAAUAAGACAA